rnacentral:rRNA from 1 species
AACGAACGCUGGCGGCAUGCCUAACACAUGCCAGUCGAACGAGACCUUCGGGUCUAGUGGCGCACGGGUGCGUAACGCGUGGGAACCUGCCCUUAGGUUCGGAAUAACUCCCCGAAAGGGGUGCUAAUACCGGAUAAUGUCUUCGGACCAAAGAUUUAUCGCCUUUGGAUGGGCCCGCGUUGGAUUAGCUAGUUGGUAGGGUAAAAGCCUACCAAGGCGACGAUCCAUAGCUGGUCUGAGAGGAUGAUCAGCCACACUGGGACUGAGACACGGCCCAGACUCCUACGGGAGGGAGCAGUGGGGAAUAUUGGACAAUGGGCGAAAGCCUGAUCCAGCAAUGCCGCGUGAGUGAUGAAGGCCUUAGGGUUGUAAAGCUCUUUUACCCGGGAUGAUAAUGACAGUACCGGGAGAAUAAGCGCCGGCUAACUCCGUG